GACAGAGGAUGCAAGCGUUAUCCGGAAUGAUUGGGCGUAAAGCGUCCGCAGGUGGCUGUGUAAGUCUGCUGUUAAAGAGUGAGGCUCAACCUCAUAAAAGCAGUGGAAACUACACGGCUAGAGUGCGUUCGGGGCAGAGGGAAUUCCUGGUGUAGCGGUGAAAUGCGUAGAUAUCAGGAAGAACACCGGUGGCGAAAGCGCUCUGCUAGGCCGCAACUGACACUGAGGGACGAAAGCUAGGGGAGCGAAUGGG
rnacentral:rRNA from 1 species